rnacentral:misc_RNA from 1 species
GAUGAAGAACGCAGCGAAAUGCGAUAAGUAAUGUGAAUUGCAGAAUUCAGUGAAUCAUCGAAUCUUUGAACGCACAUUGCGCCCGCCAGUAUUCUGGCGGGCAUGCCUGUUCGAGCGUCAUUUCAACCCUCAAGACCCCUUCGGGGGUCUUGGUGUUGGGGACCGGCACAGGGGCCUGCCUGCUUGUCUUGCAGCGCCCUCGCCGCCCCCGAAAUGAAUUGGCGGCCUCGUCGCGGCCUCCCCUGCGUAGUAGCACAACCUCGCAACGGGAACGUGACGGCGGCCACUGCCGUAAAACAACCCAAUUUUAUUAGAGUUGACCUCGAAUCAGGUAGGAAUACCCGCUGAACUUAAGCAUAUCAAUAAGCGGAGGA